rnacentral:rRNA from 1 species
AACGAACGCUGGCGGCGCGCCUAAUACAUGCAAGUCGAGCGAGAAGAUGUAGCAAUACGUUUGUAAAGCGGCGAACGGGUGAGGAAUACAUGGGUAACCUACCCUCGAGUGGGGAAUAACUAGCCGAAAGGUUAGCUAAUACCGCGUACGCUCCUUGGACUUCGGUUCAGGGAGGAAAGCGAUACCGUGGGUAUCGCGCUCUUGGAUGGGCUCAUGUCCUAUCAGCUUGUUGGGAGGUACGCUCA